rnacentral:rRNA from 1 species
CAGUAGCCGCGGGAAUACAGAGGGUGCAAGCGUUAAUCGGAAUUACUGGGCGUAAAGCGCGCGUAGGUGGUUCGCCAAGUUGGAUGUGAAAUCCCCGGGCUCAACCUGGGAACUGCAUCCAAAACUGGCGAGCUAGAGUAUGGUAGAGGGUGGUGGAAUUUCCUGUGUAGCGGUGAAAUGCGUAGAUAUAGGAAGGAACAUCAGUGGCGAAGACGACCACCUGGACUGAUACUGACACUGAGGUGCGAAAGCGUGGGGAGCAAACAGGAUUAGAUACCCCAGUAGUCCCUGUCUCUUAUAC